rnacentral:lncRNA from 1 species
UCCUUCACUAUUUUCUGUUCCUCUUCUUCAGUUACAUUUUCGACUUUACCAGUCUCCUUCUCCUCAGAACGACCUUCCUCAAUCAAAUUUGUGUCUGCAGUUGGCUCUUUUGCUGAAUCUCGCACUUGUACCUCAGUUUCAGCUUCUUCAUUUGGCUCUUUCACUGACUCUCCCUCUCCUCCAUCAGUUUCAGGUUCUGCAGUUGCCUUUUUCUUAGCUCUUCUUUGCUCUUCUCCUUCAGUGCUUCUUGGACCUCUCGCAGUUUGACUUGUUCUGCAGUUGACUUUUUCUAGCUCUUCUCUUCAUCCAUUGACUUAGCUUCUCCAUCAGACUUGGCUUCAUUUGGCACUUUCACUGACUCUCGCUCUUCUCCAUUAGUUUGAGGUUCUGCAGUUGCCUCUUUUUCUACCCCCUGCUCUUCUCCUUCAAUUUUGGAUUCUGCAGUUGCCUUGUUUGCAGUCUUUAGCUCUUCUCCAUCAGACUUGGCUUCAUUUAGCACUUUCACCGACUCUCGCUCUUCUCCAUCAGUUUGGGGUUCUGCGGUUGCCUCUUUCUCUACCUCCUGCUCUUCACCAUCAUUUCCAGUUUCUGCAGUUAACUUGUUUGCAGACUUUAGCUCUUC